GAUGCCAAAGCCAAGUUUAGCCCUGUGGUUUGGAAUUGACUCUGGGAGUUCCGGGAUCUUUUGCCAGUGGAUGAUAUUUGAGAGUUCUCAGGAUCGAUGCUGGGGGGAAUCUGAGUGUGAUAUGUGUGUGGUGUGUGGCUUUUUCUGAUGUUGUGUCAGGGAAGAACUGUCUCAUUAGACCCCUAUGUGGUAGCUUGGGACUCUGGGGAGAUGCCCUGUAAGGCCUCUGUGACUCAUCCUGACAUACAGGUCUCACUGUGAACCAGGCCUUUGAACUGUGUAUGGGCUGCAUUGUUGUCCUCACACAUAGAACCACAGCUCAGAGCGGGGAAUUCCUUCCCCGAGGUGCUCACAUUUUGUUAACAGCUUAAAGGGUUAGCUUUCAACCAUAUUUCUCCAUUAAAUCGGAAUCUCUAGCUCUCAUUGGUGUUUCCCAACUAAGACAGCUUUCCAAACAUAUUUACCCCUAACUGCUUACCAAACAGCAAAUAAAAUAACUCAAGGUAAAGAAGUCUAAGAGACCAGUGUAGAUAUGUGGCUUACAGUGGUUCUAGAUAUUAAAUUGCCCUCAUUUUUGGGGUGGGGGUAGGGGACUCCAAGGCAGAAUCUGUGCAAUAGCUAAUACAUCUCAUUAAAAAUGUUUUAGGAAGAAAAAAUUGGUUCCGUUAUUUGAUCGGGCAGUCCGUGCCCUUAGCUCCUGGACUGCGGGUCUCCUUGGGCAGCAGGAGCAGGAUGACAGAUUAAGAAGCGGCCUAAAACUUCUGCGUGGAGUGAAAGAAAAUGGCCCGAACCAAGCAGACUGCUUGCAAAGCAUGGUUGGGAAAGCACACGCAAACAGCUGGCCACUAAAAGCUGCCAGGAAAAGCACUCCCUCUACCGGUGGGGUGAAGAAGCCCCAUCACUACAGGCCCUGUACUAUUGCACUUGGAGAAAUCCGUCAGAUACCAGAAAUCUACAGGGCUUCUGAUCCAGAAGCUGCCUUUGCAGAGAUUGAGAGGAAGUGAGAAGGAUGGAGAGUUAGAAACAUUGAUGAGAGAGAAACAUCGAUCAACCUUGAAUCUCAAUGAACUAUACUAUGAAUAUUGAAGAGAGUGAAAAUAUAUACACAGAGUCUGUUGUAUUACUAAUUAAGAUGUAGAUGUGGCUUUAUUAAAACAGCAUUAAUUUCCAAAACA